rnacentral:rRNA from 1 species
ACGGAAGGCAGCAGUGGGGAAUAUUGCACAAUGGGGGAAACCCUGAUGCAGCGAUGCCGCGUGAGGGAAGAAGGUUUUCGGAUUGUAAACCUCUGUCAUCGGGGACGAUAAUGACUGUACCCGAGAAGGAAGCUCCGGCUAACUACGUGCCAGCAGCCGCGGUAAUACGUAGGGAGCGAGCGUUAUCCGGAAUUACUGGGUGUAAAGGGAGUGUAGGCGGGACUGUAAGUCAGAUGUGAAAUAUGCCGGCUCAACUGGCAGACUGCAUUUGAAACUGCGGUUCUUGAGUGAAGUAGAGGUAAGCGGAAUUCCUAGUGUAGCGGUGAAAUGCGUAGAUAUUAGGAGGAACAUCAGUGGCGAAGGCGGCCUGCUGGGGCUUAACUGACGCUGAGGCACGAAAGCGUGGGGAGCAAACAGGAUUAGAUACCCUGGUA